UGGGGAAUAUUGCACAAUGGGGGAAACCCUGAUGCAGCGACGCCGCGUGAGCGAAGAAGGCUUUCGAGUCGUAAAGCUCUGUCCUAUGAGAAGAUAAUGACGGUAUCAUAGGAGGAAGCCCUGGCUAAAUACGUGCCAGCAGCCGCGGUAAUACGUAUGGGGCGAGCGUUGUCCGGAAUUAUUGGGCGUAAAGGGUACGUAGGCGGCCCAGUAAGUUAGAAGUGAAAUAAUAUAGCUCAACUAUAUAAAGCUUUUAAAACUGCUAGGCUUGAGAGAUGGAAGGGAAAGUGGAAUUCCUAGUGUAGCGGUGAAAUGCGCAGAUAUUAGGAAGAAUACCGGUGGCGAAGGCGACUUUCUGGUCAUCAUCUGACGCUGAGGUACGAAAGCGUGGGUAGCAAACAGG
rnacentral:rRNA from 1 species